GGAGGCAGUCAGCUCAUUUUAGUUCUAAGAGAUCUAUACAGUCAGAUGUAUCCCUCAGUGAGGCAGGUAAAGCUGCAUGGUCGACUGUUCUUUUGAGAAAGGAAAGAAAUGCUUCUGUAGAGCUGAAAACCAAAGUAGGUUGCUGAAGAUGGAGCAGUAGAAGCAAGGAGCUGUUACCUUUUUAAUAAAUCUAAUAUUUUGAAUACUCAGAAGGAGAAAAAUAUAUUAAGUGAUUCGGGGCCCAAAAGACUCUUCUACUCAUGUGAGACAGCACAAGUGCACGAGAAGUUUACGACUUAACUGCCAAGAGAGUGAUAGAGGUGAUAACUGCUCACGAGUCAGAGUGCUGGGGGGCAGAGCAACCCCAGACAACUGCCUGACUAGGGGGACCCCAGAGGACAGGCUUUGAAGGAUGUGGAGAGAAGUGCAGGAGGAGGGCAGGAAGGCAGGAGGAUUGGAAACAAGGAUCCAGGAGAGGAGGGAGAGGGCCAGAAACAGACAUGAGCAUGUGAGCACGUCCUCAGGGGAGGUCUGAAGGGAAGGAGAGAAAUCACCCCAUCGAGCAAGACCGCUGAAGCGUGGGAAUCUCAGAGACACGGACACAUCAAAUCCUCAUUAAAAUCUGCAUGCAGCUACUUAUCUGAGUCAAUGGGACUCAUCAAGAGGUCUUCUAUUAUUACUUCUACAUAUGCAAAGAGUAAAGCCUUGCUCUACCCAGUGCCUUGUAUGUAUAAUAAGCAUUUACUAACCCAACAGUCACUUAGUAUGUGCCUACUGGAUGCUUAACUCUGCAUAAAUGUUGAAACUAAACGAGUUCAGUAAGUAGAGGAGCUAAGACCAGGUGCACAUAUAAGGUUCACUGGGAGCCUUCGGAUGUGCCUCAGGGCACAAUGCAGAAGCUUCUCAGCAGGGGGCUCUUUCAAAUAGCAGGCCUAGAAGUCACUGGCCACAUUCCACAGACAUAUAAAGUGGCAAGUGUCAGAAAACAAGGCUGUAUUUGACACCUUAAUGGUACUCCCUUUCUCCUUGGCUCUUCAGAUGCCCAUCUUUUCCCUUGGUUCUCCUUUCUUCUCUCCCCUUAGUAAUUGCUCUCUUCCCCUCACUGCACACACUCUCUCACAGUGCAGUCAGCUGUGCUGUCACUUCAGCAUCCUCUAAAGGCAGGCUGGUGACCCCCAAAUCCCCACUUCAACUCAGACCUCCUCAGUAGUGCUGGUCCAGUGCAGAUACCUCUCAAGUGCAGAUACAUCUCAAUGCACCAUAUCCAAGGCAGAACUCAUUAUGAUCCUCUCCUACUCUCCCACCAGCCACCAACAUCCCCUCCCUAACCUACCUACUGUGGCACCAUGACUGACUCAGUUCUGAAAGUCCCUCCACUUCCCCUUCCUGCCCUCUCACAGGCCAGCACCACAGACAUCCAGUCAGCCACCGAGAGGAGUGCCUCAACUCUACCCACUAAACAUUUCUUGAACCUGCCACACCCUUUCUGUCUCAUGCCUUAGUCUAAGACCUGGCCAUUCCCUGUCUGGAUUACUUUCAUUACCUGACCCUAUUCUUCUAACUGCAGUUGUGCCCUCUUAUAAUUAGGCCUCUACACCACAGGGUCUUUCUAAAACCCAGUUGUUUUCAGUGGUUUCCUAUUACUAUCAAGAUAGAGUCAUAAAAGAAAAAGAAACAGAGAGGAAAAAUGAGUGUGUGCAUAUAUAUGAAUGCAUGUGUGUCCGUGUCAUAUAAGCACUGGAUCUCUAAAGACAGGUCCCCGCCUUCGUUUCAAGGCAGGAUAGUAAAUAGGUUAGGUGCAACAACUCUGGAGUUUGAAUUUCAAAUUCUGGGUUCAAAUUUCAAAUUUGUAAUUUAUGAGUUAUGUGACCUUUAAUAUGUUGAUGACUCCUUGUCUGUAUUAGUUAUCUCGUGUUGCAUAAUAAAUCAUAAUAAAUCACCUCAAAACAUGA